rnacentral:rRNA from 1 species
AACGAACGCUGGCGGCAUGCCUAACACAUGCAAGUCGAACGAGACCUUCGGGUCUAGUGGCGCACGGGUGCGUAACGCGUGGGAACCUGCCCUUAGGUUCGGAAUAACUCCCCGAAAGGGGUGCUAAUACCGGAUAAUGUCUUCGGACCAAAGAUUUAUCGCCUUUGGAUGGGCCCGCGUUGAAUUAGCUAGUUGGUAGGGUAAAAGCCUACCAAGGCGACGAUCCAUAGCUGGUCUGAGAGGAUGAUCAGCCACACUGGGACUGAGACACGGCCCAGACUCCUACGGGAAGCAGCAGUGGGGAAUAUUGGACAAUGGGCGAAAGCCUGAUCCAGCAAUGCCGCGUGAGUGAUGAAGGCCUUAGGGUUGUAAAGCUCUUUUACCCGGGAUGAUAAUGACAGUACCGGGAGAAUAAGCUCCGGCUAACUCCGUG